GAUUGUGUUCGUCUCUCAUUGUUGAUAGUGUGGCUGUCCUCAAACAUCAUGGCGGACAGUAAUGUGGAAUUUUAUUUGUAAAUCACAUUUUUUUCGACGAAGGUAGUCGUAGGACGCUUGUAAAAAUGGAUGCUGUAAAGUCCUUCAACACAGAGCUUGCGGGGCUCUAUGAGUGCAAGCCCCCAAUAUCGAAGGCAAAGAUGACUGCAAUUACAAAGGGCGCUAUAAGAGCCAUCAAGUUUUAUAAACACGUGGUCCAGAGUGUAGAGAAGUUCAUUCAAAAGUGCAAAACCGG